UGAGGGACAUGACGUGCAGCAUCUCGACGGCGCAGGCGACGGGCAUGGCGGUGGCCUCAUCGCCUCCGACGAGCUCACAGGAGGCGAGAGCGAGGAUAGGGCGGAUGCGCUUGCCGGCGCUCAGAAGGGAGUAGCGCAUCGACUCGUGGAGCCGCUCAGGGUAGCGGAGGGGCACAGCGCGGUCCAGGGCCGCGUCCACCCGCCGGGCCUUGUCGACCAUGUACGCCUUCAGGUCGAACCGGUCCGCCGCCGCCGCCUCAGCCUGCCGUAUCGGGCCAUCGUGCAGCCGGGUGGAGGCGGAUCGCAAGGCCGCAGGGACGCGGCCGCUCCCCGGAGCACGGGCGAGGAAACGCGCCGUCACGUAUGCCAUGAGAAGGCGGCGGUGUCGCUAAGCAUUCUUCCGUGGGAGAGACCCCGAUCGAUGUUUCAAGUCGGCGCCCACCUCCCUGUACGUGGCAGGUUGAUUAUUGGAGGGUUAGUUUAAAAUGAAAAGGAAUAAAUCACUUCUAUUGAUAAUUAAAAGAAAGAGAAAUUUCUAUAGAAAAAAGAAAAAAAUGAUAAAGAAAAUGCAAUUCGAGUGAUUAGGUGAUCCAAAAUUUGGUCAACUAAAUCUGAUUGGUUAGAAGUGAAGAUCGGUACAUUGUUGUAUAAAUGAUAGAUAUCAUAUUCAAAUUUAGGUAUGGACAUCAUGUACAUUAUUUAAUGUAAUAAUUUUUUUGAACUAAAUCAGCUGAUCCAUCAAGCUAAGUUUUUGGAUAAAAUUAAUUUUUAUUUUGUAAAUAAUGACAAGGAGGAGAAGAGCUGCUUCAUGAUGUUCCAAUGGAGUAAUAAUGGGAGUUGAUGGAUAAGAUAAAAGAGGAGACUGGGAAGGAUGCAAGUUGACAUGUGCAAACAGAACGAAUCUCGAGAUGGAUAGGAUGAGAGAGAGAGAGAGAGAGAGAGAGAGAGAGACUCAUUAUUAUUUCUUAUCAUUGAUGUGGAAGGCGUCAGUCUGUGCUAACAGAACUCACGUGGUCGGCGGAACCCAUGAAGCGGAAUUUAACCAAACACAACAAAAGCUAUAAUCUCUUCCCCCUCCGCCCCUCUUUUAUAAAUCUCAUUAUAAGAAUUUUUUUUUUCACAAAGAAUAAAGGAUGAGGAUGAGAUUUGAUCUAAAUAUUUAAAGUUGACAUCUUUAUUAAUUAAUUUAUUUUUUUUAAAUAAAAAAGAAAUAUCAUUUAAUAAUAUAAUUUAAGGUAUAAACCAAAACAUCAAUAUCACUUAUAUAAUAAAAUAAUUAUAUAUCUUAAUUAUCUUCUCAACCCCUCUUCUCUUUUUUUUAUUGUUACUUUCUUAUUAUAUUCAAGUGUCUUUGUCGGAUAUCAUUCUAUGAUACUUUAGAAUGUGUUACGUCUUUCCAAUAAUAUUAAGAGGCCCGACACGAAAAUAAUACACUCACUUGAAGUUACUCUCGAUCUAACUUAGGUCACAAAGGAGUUUGAGCUAUAUUUCCUUGGGAAUUUAUGCAUGAGGCCAUCAAUGAUAAUACUUCUCGGAUUUAAACAAUGGAAGGAAGAAAUACUUUCCAACUUCGUCACUCAAUUCACUAAUAAGAUCCGAGACGUACAAGAAGCCCAUCUAUUACAUGUAGUACAAGUCUUCACAAUGGGGCUCAAGCCUUUUCGCUUUUUUUGGUUAUUGGUGGAAAGGCCACCAACAAUGGUACCCGAGGUGCUCCAAAGGACCAACCAAUAUAUUGCCAAAGUGGUAAUGAUUUUAAGUAAGUGCAAGCAGACAUGCAAACAAUGUUCAAUGGCUUGCAACUGAUUAUCAGCUAGGUUGAGGGGAGCUACAAAGCCCGAGACGCAACCAUGGCGAAGUACCUUAUCGUGGUAUUCGUGGUAUGGAGGCUAGCUUGUAGCUUCUCCCGACUUAACGUGUUAUGGUCCCUCGUGCAGAAAUACCUAAGCUAAUGCACUCGUCAGGUUAGCCUUUGCCCAAGCUUCAGGGAAGGGCUAGCUGUUGGUCGAGACGUUGCCUGGAAUCAUUGAAGAGCGUGACAUCUCCGUAAUCGAUGAGGAGCUGAGUUGGAUGGACGAGAUCUUAUGCUAUAAAAGAGACCGGACGAUCAUGACUGACCCCGUGACUGCUCGAAGAGUCAAGCAUCGCCAAGUAUGGUAUUGCAUAAUCAACGACCAUCUGUAUCACAAGUUCUCCAAUCAAAUCAUUUCUCCAAUGCUUGACACCCCAAGAGGUUGAGAGGCAACUCACUGAAGUGCACGAAGGCAUUUGCGAGGAACAUAUAUGCGGGUGAAAUCUUGCGUUCAAAGUGCUUCGACAAGGGUUCUAUUGGUCGACGUUGUGCAAGGAUGUAAUCACCUAUGCCCAGAGGUGCCACAGGUGUCAGGAGCUUGCUUGGAUACAACACCAACUAGUAGACCUUAUGAGCUUAAUCGAUUGCACAUGGCCCUUUGCCCAAUUGGGCAUAGACCUCCUAGGACCUUUUCUCCCCACCUCAGGACAGCGGAGGUUUCUCAUCGCAGGAGUGGACUAUUUCAUAUUGUGGGUUAAGACUGAGCCUCUAACGUCGAUCACCGAGAAACAAGUUAAGGGGUUCAUGUAGAGAAACAUUAUCACCCACUUGGGAAUCCCGAGGGCCCUCAUCACUGACAAUGAGACCCAAUUCAAUAAUAUAAAGUUCAAGAAGUUCUACCAAUCUUACGAGAUUCAAUUGAAAUUUAGUUCAGUGGCUUAUCCUUAAACCAAUGGUCUCGUCAAGGUUACCUACUGAGUUAUUCUCAAAUAAUUAAAGAAGAUGGUCAUUGGAGCAAAGGGUACCUAUGCGAAUGAGUUGCCAAGCAUCCUAUGGGCCUUCCAAAUGAUACCUAAGACUAGCUCGAGAGAAUCAUCAUUCAACUUGGUAUUCGACACCGAAGCUAUCCUACCACUUGAGAUAGUCUUCACGAUACAUCGAAUUAAGAACUUGAUGAAGAAAUCUCCGAAGAGGGGCUCGAGCCAGUCUCCACCUAAUCAGUGAAGUUAGAGCUGAAGCACACCUACGAGCAUUGAGAUACAAAAUAGCGAUGGUCAAGCUCUACAAUCAGGAAGGGCCUUAUCAAGUCAUCAAAGUUGUUCGAUAUGAAACAUAUUAUUACCUUGGAACAAUAGAGGGUGUGGCGUUGCCGAGAACGUGGCACAUUACAAACAUAAAGAAGUUUUACCCUUAAGGUCUCCUUCGAGAUCAGUCUGAAGAGGACAAUGCCUCGAGCAUUAGAUAUUGACCUAUUAGCCUUAGGGUAUCGAUUAUAAGAUGUAUCUUUAAAAUUCUAGUUGUGAAUUAAGAAGAUAAAAAUUUAUUACUCCUAGAAUGAUUACAUCAACCAAGUUAGGCUUCUACAUCCAAGGUGAAACCCCCAACCUGUUAAAACAAAGCAUCGAUAGUGCAGACAAACGAAACGAGUCAAAUAGACUGACUUGACAACCAAAAAAGGGAUCAAGUUGGAGACGAUAACUCAGGUGGCAGGAUGGGACAGUGAGUCAAGGCUAUCAUCGAAGGGCAUCAUGGUUGGCAUCGAGACGUUUUGGUCCUUGGGGUAAUAUGUGAAUAGAUCCUCCUCAAGCUCCAACUUGAGGUACCUCUCCUUGAAAUCAACCAAAGUGAUUUGGUACUUGAACUAGUAUGAGGUGACUUUCAUUCUCUCCAAACCCUUUUUGAGCCCAACGAAUGCCUUGUAGCCAGUAAUCACCUCCUUGCAAUACUCUAGUGCUUUAUUUAGCUUGCGAGCCUCCCUAUUGGCCAACACGACCUCCUCAACAAGCUCCAGGUUAUGCGUUUGCCCAACCUCAAGUGCUUCCCCUAACUCGUGAGUCUCUCGAAUGGUUGAUUGACCUCCUCAACAAGCCUCGAGUUGCCCAUUCUCAUCGAGUCUAACUCAUAGGUGAGCCAUAACAGUUCAUCCUCCAUGGCUCGGUUGUUGUCCCGAACUUCUUUUAGUUGUUUGGGAAGGCCAGCCAGGUGCUGCUCGAUGUUCUCUAGUUGAUGCGCUAGCUUGACUGCCUAAGCCUCCACGUCGACGACGGUAGAAGGGGCUUGUCUCCCAUUCCUCAAUUCCUUGAUCUCUGGCUGAUGGUUAUCAACCAUAAGAGACUAUUGAUGAAUAACAACACUAAUGUCUCGGACACGAUCGAUGAGGGUCGUUACGUAGUGGUGGUGCUACAAAUCAAAAGUGAAUGAGUCAGCAAGUUGAAACCGAAGGAGCUAGUUGUAGCCCAACUUACUACUACUUCAUUUCGGUAGCAAGUGUCAAUCAAAACUUUCGAGGGGGAGUAGUAGAUCCUCUUUGCCAUCCUCGGGCACAAGGACCCGUGGUAGCUCUACUCUGCAGUUGUGUCCUCACCUCACACCUUCUACAUCUCUUUCAAGCCUUCCCAUCAAGGUCAUAGCGGUGCAUCCAGGGUCAAAUCUGAUAGGUUAACCAUCUAUAAAGUCGUAAAGGGUAGGGGCUUCCCCUUGCACAAGUCCAACAUCGACUGCAGCUUGCUCCCCUUUUUUCUCGAGGAUGACUUGGAACUUUGGCCUCCUAGAGGUGUUGGUGCCGCAGAGGUAGGAGGCUUUGGUGCCGUAGUGGUGGGAGGCACCCUCUCCUAGGACGACUCCUCGGGUGCACUGUCCCUCUAAGGGUGCAGGAUUUUCCUUGUAAUAACUUUAUGUUUCUUUUUCGAUUUAUCGGCACCACCAUGAUGAUUAGACCGAGGAGGGUCCAAUUCCUCUACUGACUGUUUGUGAGCAACCUGGGCCGAAUGGGGCUUCGCCACACCCAUAGAGGAACCGGGCGCCUUCUAGGGCUAUACCGUGCUUGACGAGGAAUCGAGCGUCUUCUAGAGCUCUACCAUGCCCGACGAGGAACCGAGUGCCUUCCGAGGCUCCGUGGUGCCUGAUAAGGAACCAAAUACCUUCCUCUUCAAAGAGUGCAAAUCCAUGCCUAUAAAAAGCCCAAAUCACAAGAUUGAGGACAAAAGAAAGGCCAAAUGAAGCAAUGGGAGGUUCAUGUCAUACCUUAAAGAGCCAAGCUAAGACCCCCGUCGAUUAGUCAAUCCUCAUCCAUCUUCUGGACUGUCUUGGAGGAAGAGAAUAUAUUCCUUAGUCGAAGCACUCAAUCUGUCUUCUUGUCCGAAAGGAAUGAAGGAGUGUUAUCAACGCAAUGUGUCGACCAAGCAAGGUUGAAUCCCUAGUCUUAGCUUAAACUUACGAGGAAGAAGCGCUCUUAUCAACCUUUAUUGUUGGAAGGGGCACCACUGACCUUAAAACCACCACGAGCGACUAAGUAGUAGCCAAUUCUUCCCUUGCACAAUAAAAAAAUAAAUGACAAAAAGGGUGUAAGUCAGAGUAAUAUAGACACGUUGACAUUCUUUAAUGAACACUAUUAUAUAACGUCAUUAGUUUGACGUCAUUUGAGAAUGUAAUAUCCUCUACCAUUAGAGGUAGGACACUAUCAGCAAGUGGAGGGGAAGAUGGAGUCCCACCUCGAAGGCGUUGUAAGACAGGCAGAAAGACCCAAGCGUGGGGUCGAAAGGGUACUAACUAAUGUACUCGAGGCAUGUGAGUCAGGAAAACUCGAUCCAUGCUAAGAUUAAUCCAUCACGAUUAAGGCAUAAUACGAAAUGUGCCUGAGGUGUGUGAGUCAAUCGUGCCAAGUGAAAUGUGUCAUAACGGAGACACAAGAUGAAAUAUAUUCGAGGCAUGUGAGUCGAGAAAACCUGACUCGUGCUAAGAUUAAUUCACCACGAUUUAGACAUAUGAUGAAAUGCGCCCGAAGUGUGUUAGUCGAGAAAACCCGACCGCCACUAAGAUUAAUCCGCCAUGGUAGAGAUGUAGAGCGAAAAGUGCCCGAGACGUGUGAGUCGUGAAAAGCCACCUUAGAGCCACUUCAAACACUUGCACCUUCGGGUUUGGACCAUAUCAGAUUGACUCAGACGUUAACAAUGAUUUUCCUCAAUAUUUUGGCAUUAGAAGAAGAGUCAAAAUGAUAAGAAAUACAUUAAUGACCAAUCAAUAUCUAACACAUAAGCACAAUGUGAAAACUAUAGUGGAAGGAGAGAUAUCCAAGUCACCCCCGCUCGUCUACUCACAUGGACAAAAGUCUAAGGCAGGUCGUUUGAGGGUAUCUCUCCCCUACCGCUCACGUGGACAAAACGCUAAGAAGGAAAUGUUGAAGUAGUUACGGGUUAUCCCUUUUAAGGUAUAAAAGGUAAUCCUGACACCAUGCCAAGAGGGCUCUCUUCUUGAAAAAAUUGAUACCUACUAAACCAUCGAUGACUAAUUUAAACAUUAAAGGAUCGGAUCGAAAAACUUCUCCCGAUAUCAAUCUGAAUAUAGGUAGCGCCUCGAGAGCUUGACACCCCACCUUGAAGCUAAUUUGGAUACUCAUAUACCUUUAGAUCACCUCAGGUUUACUCAUACAUCGACCGUAGCAUCAAUAUCUUAAUUCAUUGAUACUCUUCUAAAGUCGCGAAAGAACCAAAUCAGAGACGAUAUAUGUUUCAAUCUUCGGAUUAUUGAAUCAGAAGAAAUUUUUUGAGAAAUGUAGUCGGAUCAAAUAAAACAUCUUUAGAUCAGAUUUAAUUGCUGUCCUGCAAAUAAAGAGACAUGAAGAAGGACGUGAUUGCCUAAAAGUGGAGUGUCGACUUCAGUUCUGGCGAUCGGCGAUGUAGCGAGCGAGAUGGCGCAGGGGCGCCGCCUUGACGCGGUCGAACCCAUGCAGCUCUGCUUCCGCUUUCACCACCAGGGUUUGUGCUAGCUCCUGCGCCUUCUCGAGGCCCAUCAGCUUCGGGUACGUCGUCUUGCCGCUCGCCACGUCCUUCCCGGCCGUUUUCCCCAACUCCUCCGUUGUUUUCGUCACGUCCAGUAUGUCGUCCACCACCUGGAACAGCUGGCCGACGCAGCGCGCGUACCGCCUUACGCUCUCGACCUCGGCGUCCCCGCCGCCGCCCACGAUCACCCCACACGCCGCGGCCGCCUCCAGCAGCCUCGCCGUCUUGUGCAGGUGGAUGUACUCCAGCACGCCGACGCCCACUGCCUUGCCCUCGCUGUCGAUGUCCACAAACUGGCCCGCCACCAGCCCCUCCGACCCAAUCGCCGACCCGUACUCCGCGACGGCCCGGAGAACCCGAUCCGCCGGCACGCUGGCCGUGGCGGCGGCCACGUGCUCGAAGGCCAGGGCGAUGAGGGCGUCGCCGGUGAUCACGGCGGUGCCCUCGCCGAAGACACGGUGGUUGGACGGCUGGCCCCGGCGGAGGUCGUCGUUGUCCAUGCAGGGGAGGUCGUCGUGGAUGAGGGACACGGCGUGCAGCAUCUCGACGGCGCAGGCGACGGGCAUGACGGUGGCCUCAUCGCCUCCGACGAGCUCACAAGAGGCGAGGGCGAGGAUAGGGCAGAUGCGCUUGCCGGCGCUCAGGAGGGAGUAGCGCAUCGACUCGUGGAGUCGCUCAGGGUAGCGGAGGGGCACAGCACGGUCCAGGGCCGCGUCCACCCGCCGGGCCUUGUCGGCCAUGUACGCCUUCAGGUCGAACCGGUCCACCGCCGCUUCGGCCUGUCCUAUCGGACCAUCGUGCAGCCGGGUGGAGGCGGAUCGCAAGACCGCAGGGACGCGGCCGCUCCCCGGAGCACGGGCGAGGAGACGCGCCGUCACGUAUGCCAUGAGACGGCGGCGG
rnacentral:lncRNA from 1 species